rnacentral:rRNA from 1 species
UACAGAGCGAACGCUGGCGGCAGGCUUAACACAUGCAAGUCGAGCGGGCGUAGCAAUACGUCAGCGGCAGACGGGUGAGUAACGCGUGGGAACGUACCUUUGGUUCGGAACAACACAGGGAAACUUGUGCUAAUACCGGAUAAGCCCUUACGGGGAAAGAUUUAUCGCCGAAAGAUCGGCCCGCGUCUGAUUAGCUAGUUGGUAGGGUAAUGGCCUACCAAGGCGACGAUCAGUAGCUGGUCUGAGAGGAUGAUCAGCCACAUUGGGACUGAGACACGGCCCAAACUCCUACGGGAGGCAGCAGUGGGGAAUAUUGGACAAUGGGGGCAACCCUGAUCCAGCCAUGCCGCGUGAGUGAUGAAGGCCCUAGGGUUGUAAAGCUCUUUUGUGCGGGAAGAUAAUGACGGUACCGCAAGAAUAAGCCCCGGCUAACUUCGUG